rnacentral:tRNA from 1 species
CCCUCCAUCAGCUCAGAAGAUUGAGCAGCGGUCUUCCGAACCGCGUGCCCAGGUUCGAGUCCUGGUGGGGGAA